AUUGAACGCUGGCGGCAUGCUUUACACAUGCAAGUCGGACGGCAGCACAGAGAAGCUUGCUUCUUGGGUGGCGAGUGGCGAACGGGUGAGUAACGCAUCGGAACGUACCGAGUAGUGGGGGAUAACUGUCCGAAAGGAUGGCUAAUACCGCAUACGCUUUGAGAAGGAAAGCGGGGGAUCUUCGGRCCUCGCGCUAUUCGAGCGGCCGAUGUCUGAUUAGCUAGUUGGUGGGGUAAAGGCCUACCAAGGCGACGAUCAGUAGCGGGUCUGAGAGGAUGAUCCGCCACACUGGGACUGAGACACGGCCCAGACUCCUACGGGAGGCAGCAGUGGGGAAUUUUGGACAAUGGGCGCAAGCCUGAUCCAGCCAUGCCGCGUGUCUGAAGAAGGCCUUCGGGUUGUAAAGGACUUUUGUCAGGGAAGAAAAGCUUUGGGUUAAUACCCUGGAGUGAUGACGGUACCUGAAGAAUAAGCACCGGCUAACUAC
rnacentral:rRNA from 1 species